UAAGGAAUAUUGCGCAAUGGGCGACAGCCUGACGCAGCGACGCCGCGUGGGGGAUGAAGGUCUUCGGAUUGUAAACCCCUUUCGGCAGGGAAGAUGGAACGGGUAACCGUUCGGACGGUACCUGCAGAAGCAGCCACGGCUAACUUCGUGCCAGCAGCCGCGGUAAUACGAAGGUGGCAAGCGUUGUUCGGAUUUACUGGGCGUACAGGGAGCGUAGGCGGUUGGGUAAGCCCUCCGUGAAAUCUCCGGGCCUAACCCGGAAAGUGCGGAGGGGACUGCUCGGCUAGAGGAUGGGAGAGGAGCGCGGAAUUCCCGGUGUAGCGGUGAAAUGCGUAGAGAUCGGGAGGAAGGCCGGUGGCGAAGGCGGCGCUCUGGAACAUUUCUGACGCUGAGGCUCGAAAGCGUGGGGAGCAAACAGGAUUAGAUACCCCGGUAGUCCCUGAGCGGGCUGGCAAGGCGCAU
rnacentral:rRNA from 1 species